CCGAUGGCGACCGGCGCACGGGUGAGUAACACGUAUCCAACCUGCCGAUGACUCGGGGAUAGCCUUUCGAAAGAAAGAUUAAUACCCGAUGGCAUAGUUCUUCCGCAUGGUAGAACUAUUAAAGAAUUUCGGUCAUCGAUGGGGAUGCGUUCCAUUAGGUUGUUGGCGGGGUAACGGCCCACCAAGCCUUCGGUGGAUAGGGGUUCUGAGAGGAAGGUCCCCCACAUUGGAACUGAGACACGGUCCAA
rnacentral:rRNA from 1 species